rnacentral:rRNA from 1 species
GACGAACGCUGGCGGCGCGCCUAACACAUGCAAGUCGAACGGAGCUGAGAGAAGCUUGCUUUUCUUAGCUUAGUGGCGAACGGGUGAGUAACGCGUGAGUAACCUGCCCUGGAGUGGGGGACAAUAGUUGGAAACGACUGCUAAUACCGCAUAAGCCCACGAUCCGGCAUCGGAUUGAGGGAAAAGGAUUUAUUCGCUUCAGGAUGGACUCGCGUCCAAUUAGCUAGUUGGUGAGGUAACGGCCCACCAAGGCGACGAUUGGUAGCCGGACUGAGAGGUUGAACGGCCACAUUGGGACUGAGACACGGCCCAGACUCCUACGGGAGGCAGCAGUGGGGGAUAUUGCACAAUGGGGGAAACCCUGAUGCAGCGACGCCGCGUGGAGGAAGAAGGUUUUCGGAUUGUAAACUCCUGUCGUUAGGGACGAUAAUGACGGUACCUAACAAGAAAGCACCGGCUAACUACGUG